rnacentral:rRNA from 1 species
UACAGAGGUCUCAAGCGUUGUUCGGAUUCAUUGGGCGUAAAGGGUGCGUAGGUGGCGCCGUAAGUCAGGUGUGAAAUUUCGGAGCUUAACUCCGAAACUGCAUUUGAUACUGCGGUGCUUGAGGACUGGAGAGGAGACUGGAAUUUACGGUGUAGCAGUGAAAUGCGUAGAGAUGCGGAGGAACACCGAUGGCGAAGGCAGCCCCCUGGGCCAAUACUGACGCUCAGGCACGAAAGCGUGGGGAGCAAACAGG